UUUUUUUUUUUUUUUUUUUUGCAUAACUGAAAUCAUUGAUAUAUAGCUUUGUUUUGUUUUGUUUUUUAUAUAUGCAUUGUGUUUUGAAAAGUAGUGGGUCCUGGGGUGCCUGGGUGGCUCAGUCGGUUAAGCAUUUGCCUUUGGCUCAGGUCAUCAGCCCAGGGUCCUGAGAUCAAGCCUUACACACACUCUCUACUCAGCGAGGAGUCUACUUUUCCCUCUCCCUCACAAAUAAAUAAAAUCUUAGAAACAAAACAAAAAAAACCGUAGUGGGCCCAAAAUGUGUUGUCCUCCAUAAAUGAAGGCUGGGAUCAAUGGAAAAGCAGACCUGUUCCUGGGUAGGAAGACCUAAUGGCAUAAAGUUUUAGUGCAUUAGGGAUUGGUAGGAUCCAUCAAAACUAUAAAUUGGUAUACAUUCGGACUUGGCACUUCACUUUUUUUUUUUUUAAGAUUUUAUUUAUUUAUUCACGAGAGACACAGAUAGAGGCAUAGACAUAGGCAAAGGGAGAAGCAGGUUCCCUGUGGGGAGGCUGAUGAGGGACUCGAUCCCAGGACCCUGGGAUCACGACCUGAACCAAAGGCAGAUGCUCAACCACGGGGCCACCUAGGUGCCCCCCAACAUUCCACUUUUAACAAUGAUUUCUAGAGAUAGUAUCUAAGAAAUAUUAUUCAUUGCAGCAUUUUUUGGUAAUAGCAAAAAAUUGGAAGCAACACAGAUGUCAACUAAUAUAGGCUUCAUUAAAGAAUUUAUGGUACAAUUACUUUGGAAUACUAUACAGCUAUUAAAAAGAAUGAGUAGGUGCUUUUUUGUAUUGAUUUAGAAAGAUUUUCAAGAUAGACUAAAUGAGGGACACCUGGAUGGCUCAGUAGUUUGGUGCCUGCCUUCUGCCCAGGGCGUGAUCCUGGAGACCUGGGAUCGAGUUCCGCAUCAGGCUCCCUGCAUGGAGCCUGCUUCUCCUUCUGCCUCUGCCUGUGUCUCUGCCUCUCUCUCAAAUAAAAUUUUAAAAAGUAUUAAAAAAAAAGACUAAAUGAAAAAAAGUCAAGUUGCUGGAAAUAUGCAUCUAGUAUCUUAUAAUGUGAGAAAAAAGAAGAGGACAAAAGUUGACCUCUUUGACCAGGAACAAUCCCAUGGAAGGCUAAACAAAAAACUGCUACUAUUGAUGAGCUGUGUUGGGUUUAGGGAUGAUAACUGACUGGAAUUGGGACAGAGCAAGACUGAGACUUUCUACCGUGUAUAUUUUUAUGCUUGUUUGAUGUUUGGACAAUGUGAACGUAUUAUCUGCUCACAGUAAAUUAGAAUAUAAAUGCAGAAGUGCUCUCUUUUGCUUACUAAGAUGAUGCUAUUGAUUUACCAUAAGUAGGAGUUUCAUUUUUAGUUUAAUUUUAACCGUAAUACAUUUGCACUGAACCAUGAUGCCACAUUUCUUCAUUUCUAAGAUGCCUAUUCUCCCAUGUACUGACAUUUUUCUGAAAUGAGUAAUCUCCCUUCUCUUAUUGCACAUAAACAUAGUACCAAACUUUAUUGUGCUAUUUGCCUACUAUUGGAUAUUAAGGUUGUUGCCAGUUUUUUUUCCCCUUUCAUUUCUUCUCCAUGAAUAGUUGUCUCAUGCUGUUUAUUGAAUUGUUAAGAAGUGUUCGGUUUUGUUUUUGACAAUUAGAAACAAUGCUGCAAUGCUCCAGUAUAGUGUGGCACUUAAAAAUAUGGAUUCUAGGAUUGCCUGGGUGGCUCAGUCAGUUAAGCUUCUGCUUUUGGUCAGGUCAUGAUCUUGGGGCUCUGGGAUCAAACCCUGCAUUAGGCUCCCUGCUCAGCGGAGAGUCUGCUUCUCCCUUUCCCUCUGCUUCUCCUCCUUGCUUGUGCUCUCUCUCUCUCUCUCUCUCUCAAAAAAAUUAAAUUAAAAAAAAUAUAUGGGUUAUAGAAUCACACUGCCUGGGUUUGGAUGGGGCCAUAGUACCUGCCGGCUGAGUAAUUUGGGCAGUAAUGUAGCCCAAGUCUCCUUAUUUGUGAGAUUGAGAUUAUGACACCUCCGAUUUCAUAUGAUUUUAGCACCAUACUUGGUGCAUGGCAUAAGCAUUCAGUAAAUAUCACCCUCUUUGUAAUAAAAAAUACUUGCUGGUGUAUAAGAAUAAUUUCUAUACAAGAUUCCUAGAAAUGGUAUUAUUUAACCAAAGAGUAUAAACACUUCAGAACUCUUGAUAGGUAUUGAGAAGUUGCUUUUCACAAAUUCUAUUAAUUUAUCUAUUAGCAGUGCCGAAAAUGAAUAUAUUUUUAAUAUUUUUUAAAAUUCAAGACAUGACAGCACUUAAAUAUUUAAUUUCUUUUUUACUACUGGGUUGAUGAAACUUUGUUUUUUACUGUGCAUAUUUGAUCUAUUUAUAUUUCCUUUUAUUUGAAUUUAUUGACUCUUGACUUCUGUUCCAUUGUCUAACAUGGUCUUAGUAUUUAUCUGAUGGAUUUAUAUGAGCUGUAUACAAUAUUGAUACUUUAAUUCUGCGUUAUUUAUGCAUUUUCAACUUUUUAAAAAAUGUAGUGAUUUUUAAAAUGAACUCGUCAUCUUUUAAAUUAAAAAUAUGAAGAUAUUAAAA
rnacentral:lncRNA from 1 species